rnacentral:rRNA from 1 species
GUGCAGCAGGCGCGAAAACUCCGCAAUGCGCGAAAGCGUGACGGGGCCACCCCGAGUGCCGUCCGCUGAGGAUGGCUUUUGCCUGGUCUAACCAGCCGGGUGAAUAAGGGGAGGGCAAGUCUGGUGUCAGCCGCCGCGGUAAUACCAGCUCCCCGAGUGGUUGGGACGAUUAUUGGGUCUGAAGCGUCCGUAGCCGGCCGGAAAAGUUCCCCGUUAAAUCUGGCGAUCCAAUCGUUGGGCUGCGGGGAAUACUCGUCGGGUUGGGGGCGAGGGAGGUCGGCGGUAGUCCCGGGGUAGGGGCGAAAUCCUAUAAACCCGGGAAGACCACCAGUGGCGAAGGCUGUUGGCUAGAACACGCCC